CCCUGCACUCAUUACGCGUGUCCGGCGGCUCCCUGCACCGCUGUGCGCAAUUUAUCUCACUCAUCGCCACACCUCCACAGCACUGCGCCUAAUAGGCUCCCCUCUCUCCUUGCUCUUUCUUGCCCCAGCCACCGGAGCUCGACAUGCCCUGCUGCGAGAGGCGAUGGCUAGUGCUGCGAGGCGACGGGCAUCAUGGUUGCGGGGCGAUGGCAGCUUCCGGCGACGCGCUGCUCUCCCUUCUCUAUCCAGAAAGCCCACAAACGGCUUGGCGUCGCCCCGCCACGCCUAGAGUGCGCGACCAGAGCCAGCAGCAUCGACACCAGUAACGAGCGCCACGGAGGCGAAGCUUCCGACCCGGCCAAUCCACUGCCGCUCCGCCGCGUUGUCGGCUAGGCCGCCGCGCUACCAUCGGAGCUUCAUGGCCGCGGGCACCUUCAUCCGUUGCCACACGCCGCCUGGGCUUGCCCACGUUCCGAUCUAGCCGGCAAACAUACUGAUCCGUUUCCCCCGUGUCCGUCCCAGGCCUUUCUACCUCGCUGGAGUCGUCAAGGCGCCGGCACUCUCCACCAAGUCAACUGCAUCGUGCCCAUGCUCCGUCUCGAGAGGAGCAGCGAGCUAGCACCCGCCUCUGCAUCGAGCACUGCUCGAUCCGACUGCAUCGCCCAAGGCCCACUCCGCCGCCGCCUUGCUCCGCCCUCGCCGUCCUCCCGCCGGAGGUCGCCGCCGACAUGAACGCCGAAGAGGAGGCAGGCGGCCUGAUGGGAGAUCGCCGGCGUGGCCCUCGUCGGCGGCGGUCUCCGGCGGGAGGCGCGGAAUCGGGCGGUCGGGCGCGGUCGUCUCUGGCGGGUGGCGGCGCAGAGGGGAAAUUGGAAGUGGAUCACCUGGCGAACCAUUUUUUACUUGCUGGACUGCGGGUUGAAUACCUCAAACAGUAGGGGGUUUAUGUAAAAAUGCCGAUGACGUACGGGCAGAAACUCAAUUCUCUUUAUUAUUAAUAUAUAUAUAUAUAUAUAUAUACAUA